ACAGCAGUAGCCGCGGUAAUACAUAGGUGGCAAGCGUUGUCCGGAAUUAUUGGGCGUAAAGGGCUCGCAGGCGGUUUCUUAAGUCUGAUGUGAAAGCCCCCGGCUCAACCGGGGAGGGUCAUUGGAAACUGGGAAACUUGAGUGCAGAAGAGGAGAGUGGAAUUCCACGUGUAGCGGUGAAAUGCGCAGAGAUGUGGAGGAACACCAGUGGCGAAGGCGACUCUCUGGUCUGUAACUGACGCUGAGGAGCGAAAGCGUGGGGAGCGAACAGGAUUAGAUACCCCAGUAGUCCCUGUCUCUUAUAA
rnacentral:rRNA from 1 species